UACGUAGGGAGCAAGCGUUGUCCGGAAUCAUUGGGCGUAAAGCGCGCGUAGGCGGCCCUGUAAGUCCGUUGUGAAAGUCAAAGGCUCAACCUUUGAAAGCCGAUGGAUACUGCAGGGCUAGAGUCCGGAAGAGGCGAGUGGAAUUCCUGGUGUAGCGGUGGAAUGCGCAGAUAUCAGGAGGAACACCAAUAGCGAAGGCAGCUCGCUAGGACGGUACUGACGCUAAGGCGCGAAAGCGUGGGGAGCGAACAGG
rnacentral:rRNA from 1 species